AUUGAACGCUGGCGGCAUGCUUUACACAUGCAAGUCGAACGGUAACAGGCCGCAAGGUGCUGACGAGUGGCGAACGGGUGAGUAAUGCAUCGGAACGUGCCCAGUCGUUGGGGAUAACUACUCGAAAGAGUAGCUAAUACCGCAUACGAUCUAUGGAUGAAAGCGGGGGACCGUAAGGCCUCGCGCGAUUGGUGCGGCCGAUGUCUGAUUAGGUAGUUGGUGGGGUAAAGGCUCACCAAGCCAACGAUCUGUAGCUGUUCUGAGAGGGCGACGAGCCACAUUGGGAGGGAGCAACGGCCCAGACUCCUACGGGAGGACGCAGUGGGGAAUUUUAGACAAUGGGGGAAAGCCUGAUACAGCAAUGCCGCGUGAAGGCAGAAGGCCUUCGGGUUGGAAAGUGCUUUUGUCCGGAACGAAACGGCUCUGGUUAAUACCCGGGGAUAAUGACGGUACCGGAAGAAUAAGCACCGGCUAACUACGUG
rnacentral:rRNA from 1 species